rnacentral:rRNA from 1 species
UCGAGAAUCUUCGGCAAUGGGCGCAAGCCUGACCGAGCGACGCCGCGUGCGGGAUGAAGGCCUUCGGGUUGUAAACCGCUGUCGGAGGGGAGGAAAUGCCAGGGGGUUCUCCCUCUGGUUUGACCUAUCCUCAAAGGAAGUACGGGCUAAGUUCGUGCCAGCAGCCGCGGUAAGACGAACCGUACGAACGUUACUCGGAAUUACUGGGCUUAAAGGGUGCGUAGGCGGCCCAGAAAGUUGGGUGUGAAAUACCUCGGCUUAACCGAGGAAUUGCGCUCAAAACUACUGGGCUCGAGGAAGAUAGAGGUGAGCGGAACUUAGGGUGGAGCGGUGAAAUGCGUUGAUAUCCUAAGGAACACCGGUAGCGAAAGCGGCUCACUGGGUCUUCUCUGACGCUGAGGCACGAAAGCUAGGGUAGCGAACGG